CCUACGGGGGGCAGCAGUGAGGAAUAUUGGUCAAUGGGCGUAAGCCUGAACCAGCCAAGUCGCGUGAGGGAAGACGGCCCUAUGGAUUGUAAACCUCUUUUGUGCGGGGGAAAAUGACGCCACGCGUGGAGGUUUGCAGGUACCGCAAGAAUAAGGACCGGCUAAUUCCGUGCCAGCAGCCGCGGUAAUACGGAAGGUCCGGGCGUUAUCCGGAUUUAUUGGGUUUAAAGGGAGCGGAGGCCGGAGGUUAAGCUAGGCGGGAAAUUUGGUGGCCUAACCUUGGGGAGGCGGUGCAAACUGGAUGUCUUGAGUGCGUGAGAGGCAAGCGGAAUUCGUGGUGUAGCGGUGAAAUGCUUAGAUAUCACGAAGAACCCCGAUUGCGAAGGCAGCAUACCGGCGCGUAACUGACGCUGAAGCUCGAAAGCGCGGGUAUCGAACAGGAUUAGAUACCCGUGUAGUC
rnacentral:rRNA from 1 species